AUUGAACGCUGGCGGCAGGCUUAACACAUGCAAGUCGAGCGGGGUGAUGGUGCUUGCACUAUCACUUAGCGGCGGACGGGUGAGUAAUGCUUAGGAAUCUGCCUAUUAGUGGGGGACAACAUCUCGAAAGGGAUGCUAAUACCGCAUACGUCCUACGGGAGAAAGCAGGGGAUCACUUGUGACCUUGCGCUAAUAGAUGAGCCUAAGUCGGAUUAGCUAGUUGGUGGGGUAAAGGCCUACCAAGGCGACGAUCUGUAGCGGGUCUGAGAGGAUGAUCCGCCACACUGGGACUGAGACACGGCCCAGACUCCUACGGGAGGCAGCAGUGGGGAAUAUUGGACAAUUGGGGAAGCCUGAUCCAGCCAUGCCGAGUGUGUGAAGAAGGCCUUAUGGUUGUAAAGCACUUUAAGCGAGGAGGAGGCUCUUUUGGUUAAUACCCAAGAUGAGUGGACGUUACUCGCAGAAUAAGCACCGGCUAACUCUGUGCCAGCCGCCGCUGUAA
rnacentral:rRNA from 1 species